rnacentral:rRNA from 1 species
GAAUUCGCCCUUAGAGUUUGAUCCUGGCUCAGGACGAACGCUGGCGGCGUGCUUAACACAUGCAAGUCGAACGAAGCUUGAUGAUUGAUUUCUUCGGAAAGAAAUUUGAUAUGACUGAGUGGCGGACGGGUGAGUAACGCGUGAGCAACCUGCCCUUCAGAGGGGGAUAGCGUCUGGAAACGGACGGUAAUACCGCAUAACGUACAAAGGCCGCAUGACCAUUGUACCAAAACUGAGGUGCUGAAGGAUGGGCUCGCGUUGGAUUAGAUAGUUGGUGGGGUAACGGCCUACCAAGUCGACGAUCCAUAGCCGGACUGAGAGGUUGAACGGCCACAUUGGGACUGAGACACGGCCCAGACUCCUACGGGAGGCAGCAGUGGGGAAUAUUGCACAAUGGGGGAAACCCUGAUGCAGCAACGCCGCGUGAAGGAAGACGGUUUUCGGAUUGUAAACUUCUGUUCUUAGUGAAGAUAGUGACGGUAGCUAAGGAGCAAGCCACGGCUAACUACGUGCCAGCAGCCGCGGUAAUACGUAGGUGGCAAGCGUUGUCCGGAAUUACUGGGUGUAAAGGGAGCGCAGGCGGGGAGCCAAGUCAGCUGUGAAAACUACAGGCUUAACUUGUAGACUGCAGUUGAAACUGGUUUUCUUGAGUGAAGUAGAGGUUGGCGGAAUUCCGAGUGUAGCGGUGAAAUGCGUAGAUAUUCGGAGGAACACCGGUGGCGAAGGCGGCCAACUGGGCUUUAACUGACGCUGAGGCUCGAAAGUGUGGGGAGCAAACAGGAUUAGAUACCCUGGUAGUCCACACUGUAAACGAUGA